rnacentral:rRNA from 1 species
UGGGGAAUAUUGCACAAUGGGGGAAACCCUGAUGCAGCGACGCCGCGUGAAGGAUGAAGUAUUUCGGUAUGUAAACUUCUAUCAGCAGGGAAGAAAAUGACGGUACCUGACUAAGAAGCCCCGGCUAACUACGUGCCAGCAGCCGCGGUAAUACGUAGGUGGCGAGCGUUAUCCGGAAUUAUUGGGCGUAAAGGGUGCGCAGGCGGUUUGAAAAGUUUAAGGUGAAAGCGUGGGGCUUAACCCCAUACAGCCUUAGAAACUGUCAGACUAGAGUACAGGAGAGGGCAAUGGAAUUCCAUGUGUAGCGGUAAAAUGCGUAGAUAUAUGGAGGAACACCAGUGGCGAAGGCGGUUGCCUGGCCUGUAACUGACGCUCAUGCACGAAAGCGUGGGGAGCAAAUAGGAUUAGAUACCCUAGUAGUCCACGCCGUAAACGAUGAGAACUAAGUGUUGGGGAAACUCAGUGCUGCAGUUAACGCAAUAAGUUCUCCGCCUGGGGAGUAUGCACGCAAGUGUGAAACUCAAAGGAAUUGACGGGGGCCCGCACAAGCGGUGGAGUAUGUGGUUUAAUUCGACGCAACGCGAAGAACCUUACCAGGUCUUGACAUACCAGGCAAAGCUAUAGAGAUAUAGUGGAGGUUAUCCUGGAUACAGGUGGUGCAUGGUUGUCGUCAGCUCGUGUCGUGAGAUGUUGGGUUAAGUCCCGCAACGAGCGCAACCCUUAUCUUUAGUAGCCAGCGGUUCGGCCGGGCACUCUAGAGAGACUGCCAGGGAUAACCUGGAGGAAGGCGGGGAUGACGUCAAAUCAUCAUGCCCCUUAUGACUUGGGCUACACACGUGCUACAAUGGCGUAAACAAAGGGAAGCAAAGCUGUGAAGCCGAGCAAAUCUCAAAAAUAACGUCUCAGUUCGGACUGUAGUCUGCAACCCGACUACACGAAGCUGGAAUCGCUAGUAAUCGCAGAUCAGAAUGCUGCGGUGAAUACGUUCCC